UACGUAGGCAGCAAGCGUUGUUCGGAAUUACUGGGCGUAAAGAGUGUGUAGGCGGUGCUCCAAGUCUGGUGUGAAAUCUCCCGGCUUAACUGGGAGGGUGCAUUAGAAACUGGAAUGCUAGAGGAUGGGAGAGGUAAGCGGAAUUCCUGGUGUAGCGGUGAAAUGCGCAGACUAUCAGGAAGAACACCCGUGGCUAAGGCGGCUCUCUAGUACGGUAACUGGACGCUGAGACGCGAAAAGCGUGGGGAGCGAACAGG
rnacentral:rRNA from 1 species